rnacentral:rRNA from 1 species
AUUGAACGCUGGCGGCAGGCUUAACACAUGCAAGUCGAGCGGAUGAAGGGAGCUUGCUCCUGGAUUCAGCGGCGGACGGGUGAGUAACGCCUAGGAAUCUGCCUGGUCGUGGGGGAUCACGUCCGGAAACGGGCGCUAAUACCGUAUUCGUCCUGAGGGGGAACGUGGGGGAUCUUUGGACCUUAUGCUCUCUGAUGAGCCUAGGUCGGAUUAGCUAGUUGGUGGGGUAAAGGCCUACCAAGGCGACGAUCCGUAACUGGUCUGAGAGGAUGAUCAGUCACACUGGAACUGAGACACGGUCCAGACUCCUACGGGAGGCAGCAGUGGGGAAUAUUGGACAAUGGGCGAAAGCCUGAUCCAGCCAUGCCGCGUGUGUGAAGAAGGUCUUCGGAUUGUAAAGCACUUUAAGUUGGGAGGAAGGGCAGUAAGUUAAUACCUUGCUGUUUUGACGUUACCAACAGAAUAAGCACCGGCUAACUUCGUG